CGGCAUCUUUCUGAACUUCCCCGACCAUCCGAGCUUCUAUAGUACCAUUCGAACUCCUCCAGCAGUCAACCUUCCACAGUGUCCUCCAGAUUCCUCCAACAGGCAAACUCCUAUCGUGCCAUCCAGACUUCUCCAAUAAUGAGCUCCUUCAGUCAUCUAUCGAACUGCUCCAAAUGCUCUCUGGGCUUCACUAUCAGUCGAUUAUUCUACAGUGAUCGACUACUCUCCG
rnacentral:lncRNA from 1 species